CCCCGUUGUCCUCUGGAAAGGCCCGCGCGCUGCCGAGCACACCUCCCAACCCGGAUGCAGUCCUGACGCACCGGAAGUCCCGCCCAGCGUCCAGGUCUCCGAUGUGCCUCCGGAGCUGUGGAUGCUUCUGCUGUUGGGUUUCUCUGUGACCUCCUGACUGUCCUGGAAUGGAAGACCUUAAUGGAGAAAUUUUCUUCUUAAAUCAUUUGAAGCGGGAAGACCCACCUUUAGUCUGGGCCAAACCUUUCGCUGACAGCCUAUGGAAAGGACAUGGAAGAAGAAAGCUUGCACUGUUUGCCUGCUCACCCUCGCCUUGCUAGCAAUUCCACCCCUCCGCUGGCAUCAGAGCCCAUUUCUUUGGUAUUCUGCAUAUACUGAAGACCGACUCAGGGAGCCACCCAUGUGGACUGAUUCUUGGACUGUCUAUUGGCAGACAGCCAUUGUUGGGCUAGCUGGACCACAGCCUGUGAACCACUCUAGAAGCACACAGAGUAUACCAGUAACACUGCAUUUCCUAGAAGUAAGAUACAAUGGAAGAAAGAGGCCAGCAACUUUGAAGCAGUAAAUCCAGGUACAGAAGUCUAAGUUCCCACCACACAGAGAACCUGGCAGCUUGCCCUUUCCCAUGCUGUGGUCUGCAAUUCGACCACAGACUGACUCACAAUGCCCUCCAAGUCCUUCUUACCUCUCAUCACGGUCCUUACAGAUCGAAUAAGGUUUAAUAGUUGAGAUUUGAUUCCUGGCUCCUCUCCGAAUCCACCAAUGCCCUGGUCUGUUCCCCAGCCAACUGCACGAGAUAAACAUGCUUAGCUGAGUUAAAUAUAUUCUGUACUUGUCUUGUUCCCUCAGUAGCCAUCUUUUAAAAAUCAGUCUGAGCCCUGUGAAGAUACUAAGUAUAAAGUCUUACAUAGUAAAUCAAGACAUUGAGUUCAUUAGUUUUUUCUUUUUUUUUUUUUCUUUUUUUCGGAGCUGGGGACCGAACCCAGGGCCUUGCGCUUCCUAGGUAAGCGCUCUACCACUGAGCUAAAUCCCCAGCCCCUAGUUUUUUCUUUUUAUGGUGGCAACAACCAUAUUUUUUCAUUCCACUAUGAUUUUAUAAAAUCUACAAAUGAUUCCAUGGUGCUCAAUUCAGUAAGGAUGGCAACUCUUACAACCUGAUUUUUUUUUCUUCUUCAAAAUUAUCAAAGGAACCUUUUGUCAAUUUGGAACUUAAAAAAAAAAAAAGGCAUCAUG